UACAGAGGUCUCAAGCGUUGUUCGGAUUCAUUGGGCGUAAAGGGUGCGUAGGUGGCGUCGUAAGUCAGGUGUGAAAUCUCGGAGCUUAACUCCGAAAUUGCAUUUGAUACUGCGGUGCUUGAGGACUGGAGAGGAGACUGGAAUUUACGGUGUAGCAGUGAAAUGCGUAGAGAUCGUAAGGAAGACCAGUGGCGAAGGCGGGUCUCUGGACAGUUCCUGACACUGAGGCACGAAGGCCAAGGGAGCAAACGGG
rnacentral:rRNA from 1 species